rnacentral:tRNA from 1 species
GGGAGUACUGCUCAGGUGGUGGAUGGGCACCAGACUGUAAAUCUGGCACAUAGAAACACAAUAGGUUCGAGUCCUUUUACUCCCA